UUCAGUUGUGGUUUAAAAAUAAAAAAUUUUCCCGCUUGGAAACCACAAUUGUAGCGACGAUCAAAAUUUUUAAAAAAAGAAUGCAGUUAUUUUUGCCACAAACCACCUCGCAAUUUGAAUUCAGAUGGCGCAGCGAGCGAUGCAGUGAAAUAAUAUUACUGCAACACAUAAACCUUGUUUGGAAAAAUCGCCGUCGUCGCAGAGUCAAUUGAAAUAUAUCUCAGUUUUAAUCUUAAGGACAAUGUUUAUGUAGCCAUAUAUAAAACUAAACUGUUUUCGUAAUUACUUAAGGAAGAGAUCGUGAAUGUAAAUAAUAAAAAUAAAUGGUGAAUUCUUAUGUGCAUCACGGUACCUGUUAGUAAUACACUAAAACGUAACUUUAAGCUCUUAUAUACACAUGUUAUAAACAAACCGUAUUGUUGCAUCAAAUAUUUAAGCAGGAAGAGAUAAUAUUUACUGAUUAGAGAACUUGUAUACCUGGUACUACUUUUGGAAUAAUAUGUACAAUAUAACUGCUGUCGAUAAUAAAUUUUGUAUAUAAGUUAUAAAAUCAUAGUGAAAUACAAUAACACCGUCCACACAGUUCUAUUACAGAAAAAGUUCUAUUGUGUAAAAAAUUCUAAAACAAAAAAUAUACAACAAAAAUUUC